rnacentral:tRNA from 1 species
GCGGUCGUGGCGAAACUGGCAGACGCGCUACUUUGAGGGGGUAGUGCCUAACGGCAUGUGGGUUCAAAUCCCAUCGACCGCACCA